UCAAUAAGCUAGGAACAAAAAUCCCAGCAAAUUUACAUUAAAAAAAACAUGUCUGGUGCCUGCCUGGCAGCCGCCGUGUACAGCGUAGCCAGAGAAAAACGUAGAAGGGGACGCUGCUGGCUCCACUCACAGCUGGCCACGCGUCGCAAGGCGCGGCGCGGAGAGCACCCGCCCACACAGGAGGCCACAGAGUCCGGGUCAACUCAACUAGAACCCUGCUUCCUCAUCGCUGGGCCCCGCGAUACUGGACCGGCCGAGCCGAGCCCACGCGCAGUGGCAGCAGAUCGAGCCCCAGUUCCAGCAGAGUCCCACUCCGCCACGGGAAAAACUCGCUUUCGAAAUCUCUCCUCUCCUGUCCAAACCCAACGAAAUCUGCGCGAUUCAUAACGAAUCGCCAUAGUUAAUCGAAGCAUUAAACUGGGGAAAAACAGAGGGAGAAGAGAAGAUAGGGGAGAGAGGGAGAGGGAGAGGGAGAGGGAGGGAGGAGGCCAUCGCAUCCGCCGGCUGGUCCUGAUCCCGGUCCCGGGUCGUAUUUGGGCGCCGCCGCACGCAGCAGGAGGAAGACAUCAGCGCGGGGCGAAGCGUCGAGCCCAUCUCCGCCGCGGGAACCACUGGCAUUUAGGAUGGUGGACAAGAAUGAUGGGUCAGAGGGUAUUAAAUUCAACACAUCAAACCUCAUUCAAACAACCGAAGAGGUUGCAAGAGCGUUUAUCGCUGCGGCCUCGGCUGCCACUGCACAGUCUGCACGGACAUCUGUAGUGUAUUCAUCCAAAGAUGAGAGUGGCAGCCCAAUGCAGAAGCUUCAGCAGCAUUUUUCGAAAAUCAUGAAAGGGUUUUCGUCCGCACCAGACCUGUCAGGAACUUACAAUCCGGAAGUCCUUACAACGCAAAAGCGGCAGUGGUCGAGGUACCAGAUGAAGUCAUUGGGUGAUAGGUGCAUCAGAGAACCAUCACAUCUGUUCGAGAGCAUAGUGAUUGUUGGGCUUCCACCUCACGCAGAUAUCCAGGAGCUGGAAAACAUUGCAUUAGGGAGAAAUGAUGAAGAUGGAAAAAGAUCAAAAAAUUUAUUUGGCAAUAGUCACCACCAAGUUCACGCAAUAACAAAUUUGGAACCACAGGUUCUUUUUGCAUACCCUCCAGAGAAGCCUCUUCCACUCAAGUACAAGGAUACCCUCUCUUUCUGCCUUCCCGGAGGUGUACAGGUUCAUGCUGUCGAACGUACUCCUUCGUUCAGUGAGCUGAAUGAAAUUCUCCUGGGACAGGAACAGCUUAAAGAAAGCAACCAAUCAUUUGUGUUCCGCCUACAGGUGGCUGAUAACUCUGCAUUAUAUGGAUGCUGUGUGCUUGUUGAAGAGAUCGUACAGAGACCAUCAAAGUUGGUAUCGAUGCUCAUGAAUGAAAAACCCGUCUUUCCACGCCGGAGUCGAUAUGUGAUAACUACGCCCCGGUGUUAUUGCAUCCUAUCCAGGCUUCCAUUCUUUGAACUACAUUUUGGGGUGUUGCAGAGUAUUCUUAUGGAAGAACGUCUUGAAUGGCUCACAGAUGGUGUUAGCAUGCUAACUUCCUUAUCGCUUGAGGAAUCCUGUGAGAACGAUAUCUGUGAAGGAACUGCAGUUACAGCACAGAAACAUUAUUUAGAUAGCAACACAACUGAUGUGGAUAAAUCAUCUGAAUCUAGCAAUGGAGUUUCGUCAACGGAGCUGUCUGAUACUGACAGCAGUUCUGGGUGUAGAGAAAACCAGCUUGACUUUGUUUCUAAAGAACAACAGCAAAAUAGUUCUUGUGAAGAACAGAGUAAUUUUAAAAGAGAAAUAGUCACUUGUUCUGAUGCUUCCGAAGUGUCUGAUCAUUUUGUUCCAGAAGAUACAUCAUCUGAUCAGUCUGGAGUUAAGCACCAUGAACUUCAUUCUGCACCAAGUAUCCCGGAUGAAUCUGGUGCAAGGAACUGUGAUGAUUCCCCGAAGGAAAAUGUGGAUGAUGAGGAGCUUGAUCUCUUCAUUAUAGAUACUAUUUUACCACUUAUGCGAUCUCGCCUUUGUGAAGAUUGUGAAUCAUCUCCAAGUUCACAGGGUUCUCCUUCUGAAGGCAGAAAUUUUGACACCCAAGAAUCGGAUUCAGAGGAGCCAUCUUCCAUUGGUGAUGGAGACUUAGUUAAACACAACAACAUACUGCAGUGGGCUAAGGCAAAAAAAUAUGGUUCUUUGCAAGUUGUCUGUCAAUACUACCAGUUACAGUGUCCUGCUAGGGGUUCAACACUUGCUUUUCAUCCCUUGGAGCAUUUGCAUUCUUUGAGUUUUCACCGGCCUGGUGAAACAGUUCUUCACAUUGCUGGUUCUACUAUUGAGCUUAGGUCACGUGAUACAAGCUUAGAGGUUGCUGAGAUGCGCAAUGCACUCUUUGCUGAGGAGGAAUCGACUGCUUUGUCCACAUGGGCAGUGGCAUCCAUUUGUGGAUGCCUCAGGUUGGAACAUGUAAUGACACUUUUUGCUGCCGCACUCCUGGAGAAACAGAUUGUUAUUGUCUGUUCUAAUCUGGGAAUGUUAUCGGCUUCAGUUUUGUCCAUCUUACCUCUAAUACGACCGUAUCAGUGGCAGAGUCUCCUCAUGACGGUUUUGCCUAAUGACAUGAUGGAUUUUCUGGAUGCCCCAGUUCCAUACAUAGUGGGCGUACAAAACAAGACAUCUGAUGUGCUCAACCGGCUAACAAAUGCCGUAGUCAUUGAUGCCAACAGGAAUCAGAUUAAGUCCUCUUCAGUCCCACAACUACCACAGCACAGAGAGUUGCUUUCUGCCUUGCGCCCGUAUCAUUCAAUACUUGUUGGCGAAAGUUAUCUUGCAAGAAAACGCCCUGUUUAUGAAUGCACAGAUGCCCAGGUGGAAGGGGCUAAAGGUUUCUUGGCAGUGCUUAGAGACUACCUUGACACACUAUGCUCGAACUUGAGAUCUCAUACAAUUACCAAUGUGCAAUCUAACAAUGACAAGGUGUGUUUGGUUUUCCAUAGAAUAAGUUAUGUUAGUGACACUGACACCCAAGCAAGAAAUAUGUAAAUAACAUUGUCAAUGCCAGCUUUUUGUGGACACCCAGUUGUUCUCAGUACAUACAGACCUAGUUCUCUCUUUUUAUCAGAAGGACUAAGUGUCUGGCAGACUUGAAUGUCUGCCUCGUCUUGCCAAGCCUUUAGAUGUUGAGCUAAACUGUACAUAUCGGCAGCUCAGUGUUUGUGCAAAGAGCUCGAAGGAGAAGCCAUAUACCGUCAGAAAAAAGUGGUAGAUUGCCAGGAUCCAGUUAUGGGUAUUGAAGAAGAAUGCUUGUAGCUGCUUAAGUUAGUCUGGUGCGGUAAUCCAAGGUUUUGUUGGCUGUAGUUGGUGCCCCCAUAAGAAGCCUUGUAUGGAUUGUUCCUGCAAAUGCCUGUGCUGUAACGGAACCGUGUCUGUGGCAAAAUCUCCGAACAUGAAUGCGUCCAUUUGGCAAAUCUAAGCGUGCAAUGGGACAUCGAAGAAAAUGUAAUAAUUCGUGGUACUCCCUCCAGGCCGAAUCAGUUGACGCUAUGGUAUUUAAUAACGGUCGAGCUUUCUUAUUUUAAACUGGAUUUGUAGAAAUAUUAACAAUAUUUGUAUUAUUAGAAAAGUUUAUUACUAAAACAGAUUCAGAGAUUUAUAUAACAAUACUAGUUAUGUGCUU